rnacentral:rRNA from 1 species
UAGGGAAUCUUCCGCAAUGGGCGAAAGCCUGACGGAGCAACGCCGCGUGAGUGAUGAAGGUCUUCGGAUCGUAAAACUCUGUUAUUAGGCAAGAACAAAUGUGUAAGUAACUAUGCACGUCUUGACGGUACCUAAUCAGAAAGCCACGGCUAACUACGUGCCAGCAGCCGCGGUAAUACGUAGGUGGCAAGCGUUAUCCGGAAUUAUUGGGCGUAAAGCGCGCGUAGGCGGUUUUUUAAGUCUGAUGUGAAAGCCCACGGCUCAACCGUGGAGGGUCAUUGGAAACUGGAAAACUUGAGUGCAGAAGAGGAAAGUGGAAUUCCAUGUGUAGCGGUGAAAUGCGCAGAGAUAUGGAGGAACACCAGUGGCGAAGGCGACUUUCUGGUCUGUAACUGACGCUGAUGUGCGAAAGCGUGGGGAUCAAACAGG